UACGUAGGGUGCAAGCGUUGUCCGGAAUUAUUGGGCGUAAAGAGCUCGUAGGCGGUCUGUCGCGUCUGCUGUGAAAACUCGGGGCUUAACCCCGGGCCUGCAGUGGGUACGGGCAGACUAGAGUGCGGUAGGGGAGACUGGAAUUCCUGGUGUAGCGGUGAAAUGCGCAGAUAUCAGGAGGAACACCGGUGGCGAAGGCGGGUCUCUGGGCUGACACUGACGCUCAUGCACGAAAGCGUGGGGAGCAAACAGG
rnacentral:rRNA from 1 species